AUUGAACGCUGGCGGCAUGCCUUACACAUGCAAGUCGAGCGGCAGCGCGGGGGCAACCCUGGCGGCGAGCGGCGAACGGGUGAGUAAUACAUCGGAACGUGCCCAGUAGUGGGGGAUAACCUCUCGAAAGAGAGGCUAAUACCGCAUACGACCUACGGGUGAAAGCGGGGGACCGCAAGGCCUCGCGCUAUUGGAGCGGCCGAUGUCGGAUUAGCUAGUUGGCGGGGUAAAGGCCCACCAAGGCGACGAUCCGUAGCUGGUCUGAGAGGACGACCAGCCACACUGGAACUGAGACACGGUCCAGACUCCUACGGGAGGCAGCAGUGGGGAAUUUUGGACAAUGGGCGCAAGCCUGAUCCAGCCAUGCCGCGUGAGUGAAGAAGGCCCUCGGGUUGUAAAGCUCUUUCGGCGGGGACGAAACGGUCCGUGCCAACACCACGGACUAAUGACGGUACCCGCAGAAGAAGCACCGGCUAACUACGUGCCAGCAGCCGCGGUAAUACGUAGGGUG
rnacentral:rRNA from 1 species